rnacentral:other from 1 species
UUAAUCCUGGAGUGUUUGCCAGUCAAGAAGUCCCUGAGCCGAUACUAUCCUUUUGGUAACUCUUAGUCAGCGAUGUUGUGCUAUGCCGCUUGUCGGACCGCCUGAUUUGUUGCGGGAGUCGCCCCCUUGAACUUUUCGGUUCAAGGCCACGUUGACAGCGGCACUCUGGGCUACUU